rnacentral:rRNA from 1 species
UACAGAGGGGGCAAGCGUUUAUUCGGAAUUAUUGGGCGUAAAGGGCGCGUAGGCGGCUUUGCAAGUGACGGGUGAAAUCCCUCGGCUUAACCGAGGAACUGCCUGUCAGACUGUGAGGCUUGAGACCGGGGAGAGGUGAGUGGAAUUCCCAGUGUAGCGGUGAAAUGCGUAGAUAUUGGGAGGAACACCAGUGGCGAAGGCGGCUCACUGGACCGGAACUGACGCUGAGGCGCGGAAAGCGUGGGGAGCAAACAGGG